rnacentral:rRNA from 1 species
CACGUAGGGUGCGAGCGUUGUCCGGAAUUAUUGGGCGUAAAGAGCUCGUAGGCGGUGUGUCGCGUCGGCCCGUGAAAACCUGCAGCUUAACUGUGGGCUUGCGGUCGAUACGGGCAUCACUGGAGUUCGGCAGGGGAGACUGGAAUUCCUGGUGUAGCGGUGAAAUGCGCAGAUAUCAGGAGGGAACACCGGUGGGCGAAAGGC